rnacentral:rRNA from 1 species
CCCUACGGGCGCAGCAGUGAGGAAUAUUGGUCAAUGGGAGAGAUCCUGAACCAGCCAAGCCGCGUGAGGGAAGACGGCCCUAUGGGUUGUAAACCUCUUUUGUCGGAGAACAAAACCCGGGACGUGUCCCGGACUGCGUGUAUCCGAAGAAAAAGCAUCGGCUAACUCCGUGCCAGCAGCCGCGGUAAUACGGAGGAUGCGAGCGUUAUCCGGAUUUAUUGGGUUUAAAGGGUGCGUAGGCGGUCCGUUAUGUUAGCGGUAAAAUUGCGGGGCUCAACCCCGCCGAGCCGUUGAAACUGGCAUAC